rnacentral:rRNA from 1 species
UAGCUUGCUUUUGAAGAUCAGCGGCGGACGGGUGAGUAACACGUGGGCAACCUGCCUGUAAGACUGGGAUAACUUCGGGAAACCGGAGCUAAUACCGGAUAAUCCUUUCCCUCACAUGAGGGAAAGCUGAAAGACGGUUUCGGCUGUCACUUACAGAUGGGCCCGCGGCGCAUUAGCUAGUUGGUGAGGUAAUGGCUCACCAAGGCAACGAUGCGUAGCCGACCUGAGAGGGUGAUCGGCCACACUGGGACUGAGACACGGCCCAGACUCCUACGGGAGGCAGCAGUAGGGAAUCUUCCGCAAUGGACGAAAGUCUGACGGAGCAACGCCGCGUGAACGAUGAAGGCUUUCGGGUCGUAAAGUUCUGUUGUCAGGGAAGAACAAGUACCGGAGUAACUGCCGGUACCUUGACGGUACCUGACCAGAAAGCCACGGCUAACUACGUGCCAGCAGCCGCGGUAAUACGUAGGUGGCAAGCGUUGUCCGGAAUUAUUGGGCGUAAAGCGCGCGCAGGCGGUUCCUUAAGUCUGAUGUGAAAGCCCCCGGCUCAACCGGGGAGGGUCAUUGGAAACUGGGGAACUUGAGUGCAGAAGAGGAGAGCGGAAUUCCACGUGUAGCGGUGAAAUGCGUAGAGAUGUGGAGGAACACCAGUGGCGAAGGCGGCUCUCUGGUCUGUAACUGACGCUGAGGCGCGAAAGCGUGGGGAGCGAACAGGAUUAGAUACCCUGGUAGUCCACGCCGUAAACGAUGAGUGCUAAGUGUUAGAGGGUUUCCGCCCUUUAGUGCUGCAGCAAACGCAUUAAGCACUCCGCCUGGGGAGUACGGCCGCAAGGCUGAAACUCAAAGGAAUUGACGGGGGCCCGCACAAGCGGUGGAGCAUGUGGUUUAAUUCGAAGCAACGCGAAGAACCUUACCAGGUCUUGACAUCCUCUGACAACCCUAGAGAUAGGGCGUUCCCCUUCGGGGGACAGAGUGACAGGUGGUGCAUGGUUGUCGUCAGCUCGUGUCGUGAGAUGUUGGGUUAAGUCCCGCAACGAGCGCAACCCUUGAUCUUAGUUGCCAGCAUUAAGUUGGGCACUCUAAGGUGACUGCCGGUGACAAACCGGAGGAAGGUGGGGAUGACGUCAAAUCAUCAUGCCCCUUAUGACCUGGGCUACACACGUGCUACAAUGGAUGGAACAAAGGGCAGCGAAGCCGCGAGGUGAAGCCAAUCCCAUAAAACCAUUCUCAGUUCGGAUUGCAGGCUGCAACUCGCCUGCAUGAAGCCGGAAUCGCUAGUAAUCGCGGAUCAGCAUGCCGCGGUGAAUACGUUCCCGGGCCUUGUACACACCGCCCGUCACACCACGAGAGUU